AUAUGUCGUCAAUAUUGUGUAGCAAGGGAAGGUGCAGAGUAGAGUGCAAGGAUUAACUGACAGCCAUUCAAACCUGGGCUCUGUAAGAGAGUUGGCUGGGUCAACAUUCUAAGCUGUUGGAGGAACAGCUUUCAAGUGUCUGUCUGAAGCUAGAUUUCAAUACUGAAGGAAAUAUCCAUUCAUUCUGGUGGACAGAGUGAUUUUGGAAGAGAAUUUCUCCCUUUCCUGGAUCUUCUGAGGACACUACAACUGGAUUACUGCAGUCUGCCCCCACCAAGGACUCUGGAAAGAGUGAGAUUCUGAAUCUACACAGUUACCAAGGAAAUCCUUCCUGAAGAUAUUAGAAGGUAGUAGAUAGACUUUUGUAAAUGAUAUUCUACAGAAGAUAAAAUCUUUAAAAUUACUCAGUUGACUGAAAGAUGUAGAUGUUUAUUGCUUAUCAGCUUUAAAUUGGUAGAACACAAGGUUUAUUUAAAAGCUCUCCUCCAUGAUGCAAAGAAAAGCGAGCAGAACAAGAAGGAUAUUGUACACUGGAACAGAAAUAAUGUAUGAUGAUCAACUGUGAAUGAUAACCAGUAUCAGCAAUGCAAGAAUCCAAGAUUUAAUCACCAGAAGUGUAAACACCUCAUUUACACUUGAGUGGGGAAGAUUUGUGACCCAUGUGUGCAAUAGUGGGUGAAGAAUCAGAAUCAAACUGACUUCUCCCUGGGCGGUCCUAAAGCAAAGCCUCAACAGUAACUGGUAGAUGUGAAAGUGGAGGAAGGCACAGGAAGUGGUGCAAAAGAAAGUAUCUUCAAAAGGGAGUUACAACUUCCUGUGAGAGAUUCAGAGAGUUAGUCUUCUUCUGGAGUUCUGAGUUCGAGUUGGAGGCUGGUGAAGAAUCUGCUGACUGGAUCUGAUAUCCUGUACAUGAACAGUGACAAGAAAAUUUCUUUCAAAACUGAACUCUUUUCAAUGAAGCUUGGAAAUAGACUAGUGAUUAUUAGAGAAAGAGCUUAUCACUUGAAGCAAGACAUGCAGUUU
rnacentral:lncRNA from 1 species